rnacentral:rRNA from 1 species
CCUACGGGAGGCAGCAGUGAGGAAUAUUGGUCAAUGGGCGCGAGCCUGAACCAGCCAAGUAGCGUGAAGGAUGACUGCCCUACGGGUUGUAAACUUCUUUUAUAAAGGAAUAAAGUGAGGCACGUGUGCCUUUUUGUAUGUACUUUAUGAAUAAGGAUCGGCUAACUCCGCGCCAGCAGCCGCGGUAAUACGGAGGAUCCGAGCGUUAUCCGGAUUUAUUGGGUUUAAAGGGAGCGUAGAUGGGUUGUUAAGUCAGUUGUGAAAGUUUGCGGCUCAACCGUAAAAUUGCAAUUGAUACUGGCAGCCUUGAGUACAGUUGAGGUAGGCGGAAUUCGUGGUGUAGCGGUGAAAUGCUUAGAUAUCACGAAGAACCCCGAGUGCGAAGGCAGCUUACUAAACUGUGACAGACAUUGAUGCUCGAAAGUGUGGGUAUCAAACAGGAUUAGAUACCCUGGUAGUC